rnacentral:rRNA from 1 species
UAAGGGCGCACGGUGGAUGCCUUGGCACUAGAAGCCGAUGAAGGACGUUACUAACGACGAUAUGCUUUGGGGAGCUGUAAGUAAGCUUUGAUCCAGAGAUUUCCGAAUGGGGAAACCCAGCAUGAGUUAUGUCAUGUUAUCGAUAUGUGAAUACAUAGCAUAUCAGAAGGCACACCCGGAGAACUGAAACAUCUUAGUACCCGGAGGAAGAGAAAGAAAAUUCGAUUCCCUUAGUAGCGGCGAGCGAAACGGGAAGAGCCCAAACCAACAAGCUUGCUUGUUGGGGUUGUAGGACACUCUAUACGGAGUUACAAAAGACGACAUUAGACGAAUCAUCUGGAAAGAUGAAUCAAAGAAGGUAAUAAUCCUGUAGUCGAAAAUGUUGUCUCUCUUGAGUGGAUCCUGAGUACGACGGAGCACGUGAAAUUCCGUCGGAAUCUGGGAGGACCAUCUCCUAAGGCUAAAUACUCUCUAGUGACCGAUAGUGAACCAGUACCGUGAGGGAAAGGUGAAAAGCACCCCGGAAGGGGAGUGAAACAGAACCUGAAACCGUGUGCUUACAAGUAGUCAGAGCCCGUUAAUGGGUGAUGGCGUGCCUUUUGUAGAAUGAACCGGCGAGUUACGAUUUGAUGCAAGGUUAAGCAGUAAAUGUGGAGCCGUAGCGAAAGCGAGUCUGAAUAGGGCGUUUAGUAUUUGGUCGUAGACCCGAAACCAGGUGAUCUACCCUUGGUCAGGUUGAAGUUCAGGUAACACUGAAUGGAGGACCGAACCGACUUACGUUGAAAAGUGAGCGGAUGAACUGAGGGUAGCGGAGAAAUUCCAAUCGAACCUGGAGAUAGCUGGUUCUCUCCGAAAUAGCUUUAGGGCUAGCCUCAAGUGAUGAUUAUUGGAGGUAGAGCACUGUUUGGACGAGGGGCCCCUCUCGGGUUACCGAAUUCAGACAAACUCCGAAUGCCAAUUAAUUUAACUUGGGAGUCAGAACAUGGGUGAUAAGGUCCGUGUUCGAAAGGGAAACAGCCCAGACCACCAGCUAAGGUCCCAAAAUAUAUGUUAAGUGGAAAAGGAUGUGGCGUUGCCCAGACAACUAGGAUGUUGGCUUAGAAGCAGCCAUCAUUUAAAGAGUGCGUAAUAGCUCACUAGUCGAGUGACACUGCGCCGAAAAUGUACCGGGGCUAAACAUAUUACCGAAGCUGUGGAUUGUCCUUUGGACAAUGGUAGGAGAGCGUUCUAAGGGCGUUGAAGCAUGAUCGUAAGGACAUGUGGAGCGCUUAGAAGUGAGAAUGCCGGUGUGAGUAGCGAAAGACGGGUGAGAAUCCCGUCCACCGAUUGACUAAGGUUUCCAGAGGAAGGCUCGUCCGCUCUGGGUUAGUCGGGUCCUAAGCUGAGGCCGACAGGCGUAGGCGAUGGAUAACAGGUUGAUAUUCCUGUACCACCUAUAAUCGUUUUAAUCGAUGGGGGGACGCAGUAGGAUAGGCGAAGCGUGCGAUUGGAUUGCACGUCUAAGCAGUAAGGCUGAGUAUUAGGCAAAUCCGGUACUCAUUAAGGCUGAGCUGUGAUGGGGAGAAGACAUUGUGUCUUCGAGUCGUUGAUUUCACACUGCCGAGAAAAGCCUCUAGAUAGAAAAUAGGUGCCCGUACCGCAAACCGACACAGGUAGUCAAGAUGAGAAUUCUAAGGUGAGCGAGCGAACUCUCGUUAAGGAACUCGGCAAAAUGACCCCGUAACUUCGGGAGAAGGGGUGCUCUUUAGGGUUAACGCCCAGAAGAGCCGCAGUGAAUAGGCCCAAGCGACUGUUUAUCAAAAACACAGGUCUCUGCUAAACCGUAAGGUGAUGUAUAGGGGCUGACGCCUGCCCGGUGCUGGAAGGUUAAGAGGAGUGGUUAGCUUCUGCGAAGCUACGAAUCGAAGCCCCAGUAAACGGCGGCCGUAACUAUAACGGUCCUAAGGUAGCGAAAUUCCUUGUCGGGUAAGUUCCGACCCGCACGAAAGGCGUAACGAUUUGGGCACUGUCUCAACGAGAGACUCGGUGAAAUCAUAGUACCUGUGAAGAUGCAGGUUACCCGCGACAGGACGGAAAGACCCCGUGGAGCUUUACUGUAGCCUGAUAUUGAAAUUCGGCACAGCUUGUACAGGAUAGGUAGGAGCCUUUGAAACGUGAGCGCUAGCUUACGUGGAGGCGCUGGUGGGAUACUACCCUAGCUGUGUUGGCUUUCUAACCCGCACCACUUAUCGUGGUGGGAGACAGUGUCAGGCGGGCAGUUUGACUGGGGCGGUCGCCUCCUAAAAGGUAACGGAGGCGCUCAAAGGUUCCCUCAGAAUGGUUGGAAAUCAUUCAUAGAGUGUAAAGGCAUAAGGGAGCUUGACUGCGAGACCUACAAGUCGAGCAGGGUCGAAAGACGGACUUAGUGAUCCGGUGGUUCCGCAUGGAAGGGCCAUCGCUCAACGGAUAAAAGCUACCCCGGGGAUAACAGGCUUAUCUCCCCCAAGAGUUCACAUCGACGGGGAGGUUUGGCACCUCGAUGUCGGCUCAUCGCAUCCUGGGGCUGUAGUCGGUCCCAAGGGUUGGGCUGUUCGCCCAUUAAAGCGGUACGCGAGCUGGGUUCAGAACGUCGUGAGACAGUUCGGUCCCUAUCCGUCGUGGGCGUAGGAAAUUUGAGAGGAGCUGUCCUUAGUACGAGAGGACCGGGAUGGACAUACCUCUGGUGUACCAGUUGUCGUGCCAACGGCAUAGCUGGGUAGCUAUGUGUGGACGGGAUAAGUGCUGAAAGCAUCUAAGCAUGAAGCCCCCCUCAAGAUGAGAUUUCCCAACUUCGGUUAUAAGAUCCCUCAAAGAUGAUGAGGUUAAUAGGUUCGAGGU